GGAGCAUACAAGAGCUAGCAGGGCUCUUCCACAGCUUACUCUCAAGGAAAAGAGGACUGUUCAAUUAUUCCUUAGCUACCUCAACUGACCUUGGCACAUGGAAUGGGGUUUUUACAGCAGUGUGAAGACUUCUGAGAAGUCUCCAAAGGUUCAGUAAAUAAAAACAUUUGAAGAAGGAUCUAUGCACUGCAG
rnacentral:lncRNA from 1 species